ensembl:lncRNA
AUGGCAAUUUCAGCCAAGCUUCGUGGUGAGAACUGAACGCAAACACUGUCCAAAGGCAAGUGCCAUUUAAAUACCCACCCUGUGAGAUGCUCAGGAGGCGCUUGGCCAGAACAGGUCACCAGGUCGCAGCAUGGGACCUCCUGUGGCCUUCUCCUAACCAGGUCCUUGUGUGACACAUCUGAAAUGCAGCCCCACCUACAGCACGUCCACGAUGUGCAUCCCCAGCUUCAAGCAGUGCAUCAGGAAGGAGUUAAACCAGGCAGCAGCUACUGCAAUGCCCGCAGGCUUCUUAGAGAAAUCCUGUCUCAAAACAAACUUAAUUUCAACUCCUAAGCUGGAAGAUCAUUCAGGAGACUCUGAAGAACACUGCUUGGUCAUCAUCCAGUGCUGUAUUUCUUUUCAUAUAUCAAAUUCCAUCUGUGACUCCCAUCCAACUGCUCUGAAGACUCUUCUUCAGUCAAGCAAGCUGGAAACAUUGCUUUUUCACCCAUUUUCCUUUUUCAGUCUUUCCUGUUCUCACCCCUCCUGCCUCUGUUUUCCUUUUCUCUAUUCCUCUGACAGACCAUCAAGAUUCUGCUUCAUCUGACCAGGCAACAUUUAAGAACAUGUGCACCUGGUGUUUGAAACAUGUUUGAAACUACUGAAUGAUUGGUUUGAAAUCAGAUUAUUAGCACUGCUCUGAAAAGUAGUUCAGAAUUUCAAUGGUAAGCUCACUUUUUCCCCACAUAUCCUGGUGUUCUUAUUUUAAGUACUGGACUAGAAAUGGGGAAACACAAAGAUGCAAGUGAAUACGCUUCCCAGGAAAAAAUUAAGCUUUUCCUCUGAAUAUUGUCCUAGGAGCCAGUGGAAAUCCAGUCCUGUUGUGCCUUUUAUCUGCCAUUUUCACUGGAAGGUUUUAUUAGCUCAAUUAGCAGAGCUAUCCAUACUGAAAUUUCUCUGCCUGUCAUUACUUUAUAGCUCUUGACCAUAAAAUUCACUAGGCAGAAAGACUUUGAGAUGAAAUUUAUGGCGAGCUUGACAAUCUUCCAGUCUUUACUUUUACCUUUUUAGGACACACUAAAUAGUAGAUAAAGAUCCUUAUUUCGUGUGAACAGCCGGAGGUGAAAGACUUAUGCAGGCCUUGCCUGCCCGCUGGGGUAGAUGUGGUCAGCUCACCUCCAGGUGCUGUGUCCACACUUGGUUGGUUGUCCAGUACUUAUCUUUUGCCUUUGGUGACAGGGGUUAGUCCAUCUUCGAGCUGUCUUCCUGAUAACUCCCCGACUCUACCUAUGCUGCAGAAGCGAAUUUUGGCAGGUGGUGGUACAAGGCCUGGCAGAUGCACGAGCACACGAAGCAGCACAGCGAGCAGUCAGCAGCUCGGGCGCAGCUCCGCCAGUGUGUGCGUGGGACCUGCGCUGCCAUGAGCUGCGCCUCUCGGAGGGUGAGGGCAAAUGCCCUGCCUUGCCACACCAAAGCAGUCCCAUGGAAGAAGGCAGCCGCUCCGUGUUUCUAUCAUUACUAUUAACACACCGCUUUUUAUUCCGCCUGAAGUAAUAUUGACUUGUACCUUUCCUUAAGGGCAGUGUUAAGAUGCAAGUGAGCUAUUC